rnacentral:lncRNA from 1 species
UAAAGGUGUGUGGCAUUGUUACUGUGGUCACUGAUGAGGAGGUAGAGGGAGGAUUCACAGCCAAGUUGCCAUGAUCUUGUCGUUAUGGAGACAGACAUCCUGGGCUUCAUCACAAGGCUGUUUUUCUCCAGGUAUGAUGUUGCUGUGGAAACACAAAGCCCAAAUCCUCAAAGAACACUCUGUUCUAGUCCCAGCUGCUUUAUCCAUCUGCGUUGUAUCUCAUUAGCAGAAGAGCCUAGUGAGAUAGGAGUUGCAUCUCUGCUCACCCAGAUCUCUAGAGAAGGGAUCUACCCCUGGACUUUUUCCUG